CAAUAGCGUAUAUUAAAGUUGUUGCAGUUAAAAAGCUCGUAGUUGGAUUUCUGGUGGGAGCGAUCGGUCUGGCGCUUAGCGCGAGUACUUGCAUCGUCUCCGGCCAUCCUUGGGGAAAGUCUGUCUGGCAUUAAGUUGUCGGGCAGAGGAUCCUCAUCGUUUACUGUGAAAAAAUUAGAGUGUUCAAAGCAGGCUUAUGCCGUUGAAUAUAUUAGCAUGGAAUAAUAAGACAGGACUUUGGUACUAUUUUGUUGGUUUGCGCACCAAAGUAAUGAUUAAUAGGGACAGUUGGGGGUAUUCGUAUUCCGUUGUCAGAGGUGAAAUUCUUGGAUUUACGGAAGACGAACUACUGCGAAAGCAUUUACCAAGGAUGUUUUCAUUAA
rnacentral:rRNA from 1 species